AGUGGGAUUGCUGGAUCAUGUGCUAUUUCUAUUUCUAGCUUUUUAAGGAAGCUCCAAAGAAGUUGUACCAUUUGCAUUCCCACUGGCAAU
rnacentral:pre_miRNA from 1 species